ACACAUGGAAAUCCGGCUAUCCGUCAUGGAUCGCCGGAUUUUCUGCGUCCUGCAGA
rnacentral:sRNA from 1 species